rnacentral:lncRNA from 1 species
GCAGGAAACGCUUUACAGUCUUACUUACUCUUUAGGUGUUUCCUCACCUGUCUGACACUCAAACUGAACACAGACAAUACUAUAUACGUACUAUUAUACUAUAUACAUACUAUUAUACUAUAUACGUACUAUUAUACUAUAUACAUACUAUUAUACUAUAUACGUACUGUUAUACUAUAUACAUACUAUUAUACUAUAUACGUACUGUUAUACUAUAUACAUACUAUUAUACUAUAUACGUACUGUUAUACUAUUUACAUACUAUUAUACUAUAUACACAUACUAUUAUACUACUAUAUAGACAUACUAUUAUACUAUAUACACAUACUAUUAUACUACUAUAUAUACACAUACAUACUAUUAUACUAUAUAUACGUACUAUUAUACUAUAUAUACAUACUAUAUAUACGUACUAUUAUACUACUAUAUAUACAUACUAUUAUACUACAUAUAUACACUAUUAUACUAUAUACACAUACUAUUAUACUACUAUAUAUACACAUACAUACUAUUAUACUAUAUAUACGUACUAUUAUACUAUAUACAUACUAUUAUACUAUAUAUACAUACUAUAUAUACGUACUAUUAUACUACUAUAUAUACAUACUAUUAUACUACAUAUAUACACUAUUAUACUAUAUACACAUACUAUUAUACUAUAUAUAUGUACUAUUAUACUAUAUACAUACUAUUAUACUAUAUAUACAUACUAUAUAUACACGUACUAUUAUACUACUAUAUAUACUAUUAUACUAUAUAUGUACUAUUAUACUAUAUACAUACUAUUAUACUAUAUAUACACUAUUAUACUAUAGAUAUACACUAUUAUACUAUAUACACAUACUAUUAUACUACUAUAUAUACAUACUAUUAUACUAUAUAUACAUACUAUAUAUACGUACUAUUAUACUACUAUAUAUACAACAAUUAACAAAUACUAUUAUACUACUAUAUAUACAUACUAUUAUACUACAUAUAUACACUAUUAUACUAUAUACAUAUGCUAUUAUACUAUAUAUACAUACUAUAUAUACGUACUAUUAUACUACUAUAUAUACACACACACUAUUAUACUAUAUACACAUACUAUUAUACUACUAUAUAUACAUACUAUUAUACAAUAUAUACACACUAUUAUACUAUAUAUACAUACCAUUAUACUAUAUAGAUACACUAUUAUACUAUAUAUACAUACUAUUAUACCACAUAUAUACAUACUAUUAUAGUAUAUAUACAUACUAUUAUACUACUAUAUAUACAUACUAUUAUACUGUAUAUACAUACUAUUAUACUACUAUAUAUACAUACUAUUAUACUGUAUAUACAUACUAUAUAUACGUACUAUUAUACUACUAUAUAUACUAUUAUACUGUAUAUAUACACACACUAUUAUACUAUAUAUACAUACUAUAUAUACGUACUAUAUAUACGUACUAUUAUACUAUAUACACACACAUACUAUUAUACUACUAUAUACAUACUAUUAUACUACUAUAUAUAUAUAUAUAUAUUAUUAUACUAUAUAUACAUACUGUAUAUACAUACUAUUAUACUAUAUACACACAUACUAUUAUACUACUAUAUACAUACUAUUAUACUACUAUAUACAUAUGUUUAUACUAUAUAUACAUACUAUUAUACUCAGAAGCUGAAACUGCAUCGUUUUUGGCAUUUUUGACAAAAAGAAGACUGAUAAUCAAAAAAUAUUUUUGUCAUUAA